UCCCUGGUGGUCCAGUGGUUAAGACUCUGCACUUCUACUGCAAGGGCACGAGUUCAGUUCCUGGUCAGGGAA
rnacentral:tRNA from 1 species